AACUGUAUAUUUCAACAUUUUGAGAGGCUUAAAAUUGAGUUGAUCUCCUUUUGAAUAUUGUUACUCUUUUUAUGAAAAAAAUAAGUUCACGGAGUACAUAGGGACGGGAGAGUAGAGGUCGAGGGUAGGCAGAGAAGAAACAGUCAGUUACAUCGAGUUACCUGAAACAAUGCCUACAGAAUGUUUGCUUUGCAUUUCAUGCAUUCACAUUUACAAACAGAAACUGACUUUUUUUCGGUCAGCUAUGUUUUGAUGUAUUUUGUGAAUAUGUGUUUCAUUCUGCAAACUGUUCUCCUUGAAUAUGGAAAUUAUUUUUAAUAAUUCAUGAUACACAGUGAGUAAAUAAAUCAUAAAAACGGCAACAUUACUAUUUUACUAUUUACUAAAGAUAUAACAUCUCCAAGCGUUUGACGCCGUAAAUAAUUCCAGAAUCCCUUAAAAUGUAAUAUUUACAGCUGUCUCAUCAACAUUUAGAUUGUAGAAAACAUAAUUAAACGAUAUUGGUUCAACGCCAAUAAAACACAGCUUGAUCCGUUAUAUUAUACCACUCCCAUUCAUUUGCACAAAGUUAAAAGGGUCCUCUAUUUCAGCCAAUCAGAUACAAGGGAGAAAGAUAAGUCACACCUACAGGCAUGACGUAAUAUGUAAAAUAGACCCUCUUAUACUUGUGCGUUGUUUCAACAAUAAAAGAAUAUUCUUUUUGACAGAAAUUUUUCGAAAUGAGCUUGUUUAUUGUCUAGGUUAUGUUGUCGGUAUGUCGGUUCAUAAAGACGCCUGAUGUCGGGACGGUGAAGGCACGUCUACAAGAUAAUGUGGUGUAAACAGAUGGUAAACGUAAUUUCCGGACACAGAUGCGACUUGCAAGGGUCAAAAUCUUUAUAUUAUGAUCUCUAUGUGCAUGCGAAUAUCUUCAGCCGACUUGUAAAAUGUCCAAACAGCUCCAACUGCUACCUAAGAUGAUAACACGGACGAUAAAGGAAUGGAGGG
rnacentral:lncRNA from 1 species